CGUGCCUAACACAUGCAAGUCGAGCGCGAAACCCCUUUCGGGGGGUGGAGAGCGGCAGACGGGUGAGUAACACGUGGGCAACCUGUCCUUGGGUGGGGGAUAACUACUCGAAAGGGUGGCUAAUACCGCAUAAGACCACAGUCCUUCGGGGCCGCGGUCAAAGGUGCAAAUCGCCUGAGGAGGGGCCCGCGGCCGAUUAGCUAGUUGGUAGGGUAACGGCCUACCAAGGCGACGAUCGGUAGCUGGUCUGAGAGGAUGAUCAGCCACACUGGUACUGAGACACGGACCAGACUCCUACGGGAGGCAGCAGUGGGGAAUAUUGCGCAAUGGGGGCAACCCUGAUCCAGCCAUUCCGCGUGAGUGAAGAAGGCCUUCGGGUUGUAAAGCUCUUUUGUCGGGGACGAAACGGUUUCGCUUAAUACGCGAGACUACUGACGGUACCCGAAGAAUAAGCACCGGCUAACUACGUGCCAGCAGCCGCGGUAAUACGUAGGGUGCGAGCGUUAAUCGGAAUUACUGGGCGUAAAGCGUGCGCAGGCGGUUGUGUAAGCCAGAUGUGAAAUCCCCGGGCUCAACCUGGGAAUGGCAUUUGGGACUGCACGGCUGGAGUAUGGCAGAGGAGACUAGAAUUCCUGGUGUAGCAGUGAAAUGCGUAGAUAUCAGGAGGAAUACCGAUGGCGAAGGCAGGUCUCUGGGCCAAUACUGACGCUCAUGCACGAAAGCGUGGGGAGCAAACAGGAUCAGAUACCCUGGUAGUCCACGCCCUAAACGAUGUCAACUGGUUGUUGGGGGAUUUAUUCUCUUAGUAACGAAGCUAACGCGUGAAGUUGACCGCCUGGGGAGUACGGUCGCAAGAUUAAAACUCAAAGGAAUUGACGG
rnacentral:rRNA from 1 species